rnacentral:rRNA from 1 species
UGGGGAAUAUUGGACAAUGGGCGAAAGCCUGAUCCAGCCAUGCCGCGUGUGUGAAGAAGGUCUUCGGAUUGUAAAGCACUUUAAGUUGGGAGGAAGGGCAGUAAGCGAAUACCUUGCUGUUUUGACGUUACCGACAGAAUAAGCACCGGCUAACUCUGUGCCAGCAGCCGCGGUAAUACAGAGGGUGCAAGCGUUAAUCGGAAUUACUGGGCGUAAAGCGCGCGUAGGUGGUUCGUUAAGUUGAAUGUGAAAGCCCCGGGCUCAACCUGGGAACUGCAUCCAAAACUGGCGAGCUAGAGUAGGGCAGAGGGUGGUGGAAUUUCCUGUGUAGCGGUGAAAUGCGUAGAUAUAGGAAGGAACACCAGUGGCGAAGGCGACCACCUGGGCUCAUACUGACACUGAGGUGCGAAAGCGUGGGGGCAAACAGG